AGGUAUUCGGCAAGGAGCAUUCGGUGAGGAGGCUUUGUAGCUUCGGUAGGGGGUGAUCUUGUGAAUUUUCUGUUCUCAAUGAGACCUUGCCGAAUGGCAAGGGUUGCCUAAAAACUUUUUGAGGCAUGUCUAUUUUCUAGCAGAACUGCCGAUCGGCAAGGAGGACUUCGUGUGUCUGUCGGCUUCAGCAAGACCCUUGUCGUUCGGCAAGGGUACAAGGAAUGGCCUCUUUGUGGCUUGGUGUCGGGCCUAGGCUAGGUACUUGAGUAACCACUGUUUUGGCUUAUGGCUGGGUCCUGUGCAAACUCGGGAGGGCUGGUUGUGACUUGGAGCUGGGUUCUCCAUGCGACGAGGACUGUUCGAGCAUUGGGAGACCUCCGUGUUGCAGUGAUCAUUUUUCCAAGUUCAGUCAGGGGUGCUAAUCGGCAAGGGGUGGAGCAAGGCCAACUUGGCAGGGGGAGUCUUCAUUUGCUUCUGCACGUUGCUUGCUGUUCGAGAAGAGUGAAGCCAAGACAAGGUUUUUGGAGCUGAAGGAGGAUCCGGGUCCUCUUGAAAUUUGGUCUUGGGUGGAGGGGUGAGGUUUCGUGCUUCCCUGGUUUGCGCCGUUCGGUAAGUCAAGUUGUCCACAGACUUUUAACAAAAGGAGCUGGGCCAUUUGUGAGUUCGGUAAAAGGGCAGCUUUUCACGAACAUUGCCUCCAGGCACGGUUGGUCCGAGAGGGUGGUUUGGCAAGAUUCUUUAGCUCUUUUGGUAAGUCCAGUAUGUUUAUUUUAUGUGCUGGGCUCGAAUUUGGGGCUGAGGAAAUUGAGAGGCAAACCUAUGCAUUCGGCAAGCUUCCACUCUUGCAGAAAUUUCGUUUGGGGCGUGAUCUUGAGCCAACUGAUUUUGAGGAGGUUUUUGAGGUCUGGCUGAAGAGUCUUCAGCAAUUUUUUGAUUUGGAACCGUGAUUUUCAUGGCCCUUCAUUCGAUUGCCCAGCACCUACCGUUCGGGUCUGGGUCCUGAGAGGUUCGGCAUGGGAGGGGUUGUCUAGAGCACCGCCUCAAGCAACCUUUUGAUCCAGAUUUUUGAAGCUAGGGUCGGCAACAUCUGGGUGAUGGCAUUUGUAUUUUCUGCAUAACCCGAAUUCAUUGGGAGCUGAGCUCUUGAAGGUUCGCAACGGAUCCGAGGAGAGUUUGGUGCGUGAGCACAUCCUUGGCCUCAUCCUAGCAUCGGCAAGUGGGUGGUAGGAAGGCUGGUCACGUGGUUGUCGUGGGCUUCUACUAUUGCCUUUGGACGAGAGGUAUCGUUCGGCAAGAGACCCACUUCAACCUGAAUCUUGUGAGUUUUAAUUUCGGCAGCCUUGAGCUUUGAAUUGGAGCUGGGCCUGGAGCUAGGAGCUGAGCCUGCAUCGGUAAAAGAGGCUUGGAGCUGGGAGCUGGGCUUUGAUGCUGGACUGUGAGGGUUGAUCCGAAAAGAAUAGAGGUCCUGGAGCUAAGCCUCCGGCAAGGCUUGGUUUUCAAGGCCUUGGCCAUUUAAAUUGCUCUAGACUUUCAGCUAGUUGUCAUUUGGGCUUCCCAUUGGAUUGAAAUGGUGGUUGGCCUCCUUAGCCCUGCAAAGUGAUGCUGUUGGUGACUUGGAAUAUUUGGCAAUUGCCACAUUGGAGCAUCUUCAAAGUGGCCUGGACAGCUUCUAUUUAUAUGCAAUAUUCAUGAACCAUAUUGUUGAAUAAGAUUGUGCAAUGAAUUAUUUAAAUAUCACAUGCUCAUACGCAAUAUUUAUAUAUAAGAAGAGAAAUCUUAUCUUGUGGUGAGGAUGUGCGUGGGCAUCGCUCAUAUCAGAGAGGUUUGCCGAAGGCAUCGCAUGCGCCUCAUGAUGACGAGGUGUCGAAGACAUUGCUUGCUUCGAAUGAUGAUUAGAUGCUAAAAGGCAUCACUCAAGCUAAAUGACGACGAGGUGCCGAAGGCAUCGCUCGCGCCUAAUUGUGGCGGGGUGCCGAAGGCAAUACAAAGCUUACAUGUUGCAAGGCAUUGUGGCUGGGCACGAAGGUGCAGAAGGCUACACAAAGCUUGCAUAUCUCAAGGCAAUGUGGCUAGACAUGGGGGUGCCAAAGGCGACACAAAGCUUGCAUGUCGCAAGGCAAUGUGGCCAAGCACGGGGGUGCAAAAGGCAACACAACGCUUGCGUGUCGCAAGGCGAUGUGACUAGGCACGGGGGUGCAGAAGGCAACAUAAAGCUUGCGUGUCGCAAGGUAAUGUGACUAGGCACGGGGGUGCAGAAGGCAACACAAAGCUUUCAUAUCGCAAGGCAAUGUAGCUAAAUGGUAAGCUACAAGAUGAUGAUUGAAAGGGUGCCGAAGGGCACUAGAGGAAGGGAAGAACAACAAAAGCUUCUUGUGUCGUUCCCACAAACAGUGCCAAACUGUUGAUGCUUUUUUUGGGAGGUCAUCUUAGAAAGUAGGUGAUAGUGAAUGAUGGGUGAAGGUGAGGACCUUCAGCAUAUGUGUGUGAAGGCUUGGGCAAGCGAUAAAUGUAGCAGAACUGCCGAACGACAAUGAGGACUUCAUGCGUCUGUCGGCUUCAGCAAGACCCUUGCCGAACGGCAAGGGUCUCGUUGAGAACUGGAAAUUCAGAAGAUCACCCCAUACCGAAGCUACAAAGCCUCCUCACCUUCUAAAUGCUCCUUGCCGAAUACCUCUGAACGGCAGAAGGUCUGAUGUCUGUGAGGCAUGCACACCUCUUCCAAACCCUGGCUUCAUGUGCCAAACCCUAGCUUCAUGUAACAAAGGCCCAGCCCACGACAAAGGACCCAACUCACAUAAUUUCGGAACCCACCUAAGGCCACGACCAGGACAGCCCCAUGUGACCUAGCCCAGGUCCUUUCAAAUUAAUCUAAAGGCCCAUGGUGCUGAAUGCCUCUCUAAAUUCUAGACCCUAAGGCCUUGCCUAGGCCCAAAAGCAGACCAGCUACUCUGCCGAAACAAAAAGGGCCCAGCCCUUUGCCUCCCGAAAUCAAGGCAUGGUCACGACCCGCUCUAACACCUGGAGGCCCACGAGCUGCUCCUUUGCUGAAGCACUACAUUUCAAAGGCCCAAGGCCCAAAAAAAAAAAAAAAAAAAAAAAAAAAAAAA